UUGAAAUCCUAAAUUGGUUUUAAUUGGAGCAAUACAGAAAAGAUUAGCACGGACCCUGCGCAAGGAUGACACGCAAAUUCAUGUUAAAGCUUAGGUAGAUAAUUUUU